UGCAUUUUUUACUAAUUAAUAAUUAUUAAUUAAUGAUUAUGUCUUUCAUAAUUUUUUUUAAAUAGAUGAAUGGUGGAGAUUGUUCGGUUUCGACGCGCCAAACUUGCAAAAGUUGGCUAUAAAAAUUCUUAGUCAAACUGCUUCUUCUUCUGGAUGUGAGCGCAAUUGGAACGUAUUUGAACGCAUCCAUACCAAGAAAAGAAAUAGAUUGGAGCAUAACAGACUGAACGAUCUUGUUUACGUUCAUUAUAAUUUGCGAUUGAAAAAUAGGUGAGUUACUUUAAGUCUUUAAAGUUAAUUUUAUAGUUUUUAACAAAUAAUUAUCUUAUAUUAAUUCUUUUUGUUCAUGUUAAUGUUACAAUUAUUUAUAAUUAUUUAGGUUGGCUGUCUCCAAGAGAUCAUACGAUCCAGUGGAUUACGAGUCAAUUGAAAAAACGGAAUUUUGGAUUGUGGAAAAUGAGGAAGAAGGAGAACUUGACUAUGAUGAACUUGAAAAUAUGGUGCAAGAAGAAUAUCCAAAGGAUGGCGUUGGAGAGUCAAGCACACAAGAGCAUGAGUUCGAUGUGAUGACAUUCCAUGGAGGAGAUGAAGGUGGAGAUGAAGAUGAAAUUGGAGAUGAGUACGAGGAAGAGUGAUAUAUGAAGAUGAUAGUGUCUUUCAUAUGCAUUUACUAUUUACUUUAAAUAUUUGAUUUUGAUAUGAGACUUAUUUUAAAUGUUUGUUUUGGAUGCAAGACCUUUUUUUUUUGUUGAGUUUUGAUUUAAAUUAAAUGUUAACUUUUGA